AUGGCUGUCGUCAGCUCGUGUCGUGAGAUGUUGGGUUAAGUCCCGCAACGAGCGCAACCCUUACUUUUAGUUGCUACCAUUUAGUUGGGCACUCUAGAAGAACUGCCGGUGAUAAGCUGGAGGAAGGUGGGGAUGACGUCAAGUCCUCAUGGCCCUUAUGUGUUGGGCUACACACGUGCUACAAUGGUAUUUACAGUGGGAUGCAAAGAGGCAACUCCAAGCCAACCCUCAAAGAAUACCUCAGUUCGGAUUGUACUCUGCAACUCGAGUACAUGAAGCUGGAAUUACUAGUAAUCGCGGAUCAGCGCGCCGCGGUGAAUACGUUCCCGGGUCUUGUACACACCGCCCGUCACACCAUGGAAGUUGGUUACACCUUAAGGCAAAGUGUAAAACCUUUGACUACGGUACGAUCAGCGACUGGGGUGAAGUCGUAACAAGGUAGCCGUAGGGGAACCUGCGGCUGGAUCACCUCCUUUCUAAGGAAAUCGAAAAAUAUUAAAUCAAUUAUUUUCGAUUUAAAAAAAACCGGUAAUGUGACCGUCCUCAUUUCUCUUCUUUUAAUGUCUCUGACUAAAAAUAAUGUAAGGGGCCGGUAGCUCAGGUGGUUAGAGCGCACCCCUGAUAAGGGUGAGGUCGGAAGUUCGAAUCUUCCUCGGCCCACCAAUAUUAUGGGGGAUUAGCUCAGCUGGGAGAGCGCCUGAUUUGCAUUCAGGAGGCCAGCGGUUCGAUCCCGCUAUCCUCCACCAAAAUUUGAGACAUUUAGCUUUUUUAAAUUGUGAAUAAUUUUAUUAUCAAUAUCUAUAUCCGAUUGUUUUCAUAUAUUUUUUUGAAAACAAUCAAAACAAAAAUUUGAAUUUUACACAGAAAGUUUUUUUCUGUGCAUAAAUCAAGCGUUUAAGGGCGAUUGGCGGAUGCCUUGGCACUGUAAGACGAUGAAGGACGUGGUAUACUGCGAUAAGUUUCGGGGAGCUGUAUGCGGGCUUUGAUCCGAAAAUAUCCGAAUGGGGAAACCCGG
rnacentral:sRNA from 1 species